UUUUUUUAAAACUUAGAGGGACAAUAUUACCAUAGCUACCUACACGGAAGUAUCCCCUGAGGAGCUAUCUACAAAGAAGUUUCACCAAGGUAUCCGGCUUUGAAAUUUGCGUAAUGGCUUUGUCCUUAAUCCCCCUGGGGCCACUUUGAUCCAGGCCUACUGUGUGCCGAGGGUGACCAACCCCUGCAGGUUUGCCUGGGAUUGUCCUGGUUUUAGCGCUGAGGGGACGAGUCAAGCUAUUCUGCUGACGAAGA